rnacentral:lncRNA from 1 species
CUCCUGGCUGCAUCUGCACCCGCCCGUACCCGCACCGGGCCUCACUGGCCCCUUCUCAGACCGGCACAGCCAGAAACGGGAAUCCAAGUCCAGGGUUUACCUCUGGGGCCCUGGGGACCACGUGGCUGCCUAGGAAACGCAGCCCAACAGCAGGCUAGCUCCGAGGCAGAAGCCUUUUCUCCAGGAAGGGCCGGCGAGGAGCCCG